AUGAGGUCGUUGUACAAGAUGCUACUACUUUCGCUUGCCCUUGUAGCGCUGCUAUCCUCAGAUCUGACGAUCCAGGCGACGGCUAAUGGUGGCGGCUCGCUAAUCCCUGAAGACUGCCGGCAGACCCUUGUCAUCCGUGGGCCCUGUAACCCCAAGGCUUGUCAACGCAACUGUCAAACCAACGUCGGCCCCGGUGCCGUUGGCGACUGUGAUGCCGGUGGAUGCCGGUGCACAUACUGUACUCCAUCUCAGUGGAAUUAA
rnacentral:rRNA from 1 species